rnacentral:rRNA from 1 species
UACGAAGGGGGCUAGCGUUGCUCGGAAUUACUGGGCGUAAAGGGCGCGUAGGCGGCUCAUACAGUCAGGCGUGAAAUUCCUGGGCUCAACCUGGGGGCUGCGCUUGAGACGUGUGGGCUUGAGGACAGGAGAGGCUCGUGGAAUUCCCAGUGUAGAGGUGAAAUUCGUAGAUAUUGGGAAGAACACCGGUGGCGAAGGCGCUCUGCUGGACCAUAACUGACACUCAGGGACGAAAGCUAGGGGAGCGAAUGGG